GGGGACGUCACGGUUUCGACGGGGGUAUGAAAGGUGGCGGCUGCAGGCCAAGGCCCACACCCUUGUAAAAAUGUGGAAACGUCAACUUAGACGCCAACGAUAACAACAUACUCCUUGCUGCUUAAUUAGCAGCGACGCUCCCGGUUCUCUCUCCUGCGUGGGUUCCGACGAGUGCCAUUACAGCAGGACGGUCUGCCAGGUCUUUUCGCUUCCUGGGGGUCGUAUUCAAAGUGAAAUAGUCUGUGACAUUCCGUGCCGGCAAGGUAGUCACAGGCGAAACUCAUUUGCCGGAUAAGCCUGUAGAUGCUUCCAUUAGUCUGCCUUCGGACGCGGGUUCGACUCCCGCCGUCUCCAUGG
rnacentral:tmRNA from 1 species